UAAAAAAUUUGGCGGUAUUUUAGUCUAUUCAGAGGAACCUGUUCUGUAAUCGAUAAUCCACGAUGGACCUUACUUAAGUUUGUAAUCAGUUUAUAUACCGUCGUUAUUAGAAUAUUUUAUAAGAAUGUUAAUUUUCAGAAUCUUUAAAAAGAGAAUAUAUCAGAUCAAGGUGUAGCUAAUAUUUAAGUAGAAAUGGGUUACAAUAAAUUUAUUUAAACGGAUAUAAAUUUGAAAUAUUUAUUGAAGGUGGAUUUGAUAGUAAAAUUAUAAAGAUUAAUAAUUUGAUUUUAGCUCUAAAAUAUGCACACAUCGCCCGUCACUCUUACUACUAAGGUAAGAUAAGUCGUAACAUAGUAGAUGUACUGGAAAGUGUACCUAGAAUGCAAUUUAAAGCUUAUUUAGUAAAGUAUUUCAUUUACAUUGAAAAGAUUUUUGUGCAAAUCAAUAUAAAUUGAUUAGAUUUUAUUUAUUAGAAUUUUUUUUUAAAAAUUUAAAUUAUUAAAAAUAAUUAUAAAAGGAAUUGUUUUAGUAUUUUAUAAAGAAAAAAUAAUAUUAAUUAUAGUGUAAUAGUAUUGUGAAAGAAAAUUGAAAUAAUUUGAAAAAUUUUUAUUAUAAAAGAAAAUUU
rnacentral:rRNA from 1 species